GACGUAGGGGGCUAGCGUUGUUCGGAAUUACUGGGCGUAAAGCGCGUGUAGGUGGUUGUCCAAGUUGGAUGUGAAAGCCUUGAGCUCAACUCAAGAAAUGCAUUCAGGACUGGGCGGCUAGAGGACCGGAGAGGAUAGUGGAAUUCCCAGUGUAGUGGUGAAAUACGUAGAGAUUGGGAAGAACACCAGUGGCGAAGGCGGCUAUCUGGACGGUUUCUGACACUAAGACUCGAAAGCGUGGGGAGCAAACAGG
rnacentral:rRNA from 1 species